AGUGAACGCUGGCGGUAGGCCUAACACAUGCAAGUCGAACGGCAGCACAGUAAGAGCUUGCUCUUACGGGUGGCGAGUGGCGGACGGGUGAGGAAUACAUCGGAAUCUACUUUUUCGUGGGGGAUAACGUAGGGAAACUUACGCUAAUACCGCAUACGACCUACGGGUGAAAGCAGGGGAUCUUCGGACCUUGCGCGAUUGAAUGAGCCGAUGUCGGAUUAGCUAGUUGGUGGGGUAAAGGCCCACCAAGGCGACGAUCCGUAGCUGGUCUGAGAGGAUGAUCAGCCACACUGGAACUGAGACACGGUCCAGACUCCUACGGGAGGCAGCAGUGGGGAAUAUUGGACAAUGGGCGCAAGCCUGAUCCAGCCAUACCGCGUGGGUGAAGAAGGCCUUCGGGUUGUAAAGCCCUUUUGUUGGGAAAGAAAAGCAGCAGGUUAAUACCCCGCUGUUCUGACGGUACCCAAAGAAUAAGCAUCGGCUAACUUCGUG
rnacentral:rRNA from 1 species